GCUCCGGCGGACUGACUGCGUGGGGAGCAGUGUGGGCGCAGCGGAGGACUUUCCUAUAAAAGCAGGGAUCCCACGGCCAGCCGAGCUUGUCUCUCUGUCACUGGCAAGAAAAGAGCAGCGAGUCCCCGCCAGCAGCUGUGUUGUUUCUCCAGCCACAGCUCGGAAAAGCGUCCCGACCUCACCUUAAAGGAAACCUCUAGUCUAUGGUUCUGACUGACGCUCCAACAAGGAUGUCCCGGACCGACGAGGUGCACCGUAUAACGGAGAAUGUCUACAAGUCCAUCAUGGAGCAGUUCAACCCGUGCUUGCGGAACUUCAUCGCCAUGGGAAAAAGCUACGAGAAGGCGCUCACCAGUGUCACAUUUGCUGCAAAGGGCUACUUCGACGCUCUGGUGCGGAUGGGCGAGAUGGCCAGCGAAAGUCAAGGCUCUAAGGAUCUUGGGGAGGUGCUCUUUCAGAUGGCUGAAGUGCACCGACAGAUCCAGAUCCAGCUUGAGGAGAUGCUGAAGUCUUUCCACAACGAGCUGCUCACAGAGCUGGAGAAGAAGGUGGAGCUGGACGCUCGCUACCUGAACGCCGCGCUGAAGAAGUACCAGAUGGAGCACAAGAGCAAAGGGGAGAGUUUGGAGAAGUGCCAGGCGGAGCUGAAAAAGCUGCGCAGAAAGAGCCAGGGCAGCAAGCACCCGUCCAAGUAUGGAGACAAGGAGAUGCAGUACGUGGAGGCCAUCAGCAAUAAGCAGAGCGAGCUGGACAACUAUAUCGCAGAGGGCUACAAGCACGCUCUGUCUGAGGAGAGGAGGAGGUACUGCUUCCUGGUGGACCGUCAGUGUGCCGUCGCCAAGAACAGCAGCGUCUACCACGGCAAGGGGAAGGAGCUUUUAACCCAGAAGAUCCCAGCGUGGCAGCAGGCGUGUGCCGAGCCCAACAAACUGCCAGACCGGGCCAUGUUCCUGGCCCAGCAGAUGAGCGGUGUGGCGGGCGCCAUGGUUCCCAUCGCGCAUCAUCCAGGCUUGCCCCUCUCCGAGCCCAUCGCUGGGGCCAAACCCCUGCCAGUGCCUCCAGAGCUGGCAGCCCUCAGGGCCAGUGGAGGCAUGGGACAGCAGAGGCUGAUGGGAGGCGUUGAAGGAGGGAUGCCCGUGAUGAACGGCACGGCGGGGGCUCACGGAGGGGAGGACUACCAACAGUGGAUGGAGGGCAAGGUGGCCCAGGGGAAAGCCUCACCACAGACCCAGCGGCACGGAGGGGAGGUGUACUCCAACACCCUGCCUGUGCGCAAGGUUGCCCCCGCUAAGAACAAGACCACCCUGACGGAGACCCGCACGCUGCCCCGGUCCAGCUCCAUGGCAGCAGGGCUGGAGAAAAACGGCAGGACUCGAGUCCAGGCCAUCUUCUCCCACACAGCUGGGGACAACAGCACCCUGCUCAGCUUCUUCGAGGGCGAUGUGAUAACCCUGCUGGUCCCCGAGGCCCGGGAUGGCUGGCACUACGGAGAGAACGAGAAGACCAGGAUGCGUGGCUGGUUUCCCUUCUCCUACACCCGGGUGAUCUCUGACGGGGACACCAAUUCCAUGAGGCAGCUUCGAGUACACAACCUCCAUGGGAAGAGCAGUAGCACAGGGAACCUCCUGGAGAGAGAAGACAUGGCAGUCCCCGUCCCUGAUUACGGCGUCCACUCCCAUAUGGCAGCACAGAGCGCUGCUGCGCUGCAUGGCAGACAACAACGCCCCUACAGUGUGGCCGUGCCAGGCUUCCCACAGCAAGGAGCUGAAGAGUAUGAGCCCCGCUUCCCUACAAGUUCCACAGAGGGCAAAUUGAUUUCGACAGUGUGAGGACAGACAGACAGACACACUGAGCCAGAUGAUGCGAUAGGACAGACUCCUCGCUCCCCUCCUCCUUACCCCAUGUCCCCCGCCUCCUAACCUCCAACUUACAGCAAUAAACUCUUCCCUGAGCCAAUCAAUGCAAGGAAGAGGCUUUGUUCUGUAUCCCCCCCCCUCCCUCACUGAUCUCCCCUCUUCCUCCACCCAACCCCGCUCUGAGCUGUCUAACUGGCCACCAGGGGGGGGCCACUGGUGAAGCCUUGGUGUGCAACGAUACAGACUGUGCCAUCCGAAUAAUCAAACUCAAAAGGGAUGGACAUUUUCUCUGAGGAAAAUGUAUCUUUUGCUUGUCUUUCAUGCAUGUACAUUUCUUUUACAUAUCGCUGGGGAUUAUAUUUCCUCACGGAAAGGAACCUGAUUUCCACAAAUGUAAGUGCUCCCUCCACCAGAAUGACAAUGUAAAGGAUAUGUGAAUCAGGAAGUGAAACGAAUGAUCCCAAAGAGGAUUUAUCGUGCAAAACAAAAAGGUAUUACAAUCGAUAUUUUACUGGCUCUUUCAGUAUUUAACAAUAAUUUUAACCUUUUCAUGCUGUGAGGUUUUGUAUUCCUCUGACAUAAGAGGCCAUGUAUCACGAGAUGUGAACCGCUCAUGUAAAUGUUUUGUGGAACAGAUGUGAUGGGAAUGUUACCUGUACAUAAAUGUGCCAUACAGAAGUCAUAAAAGUAUAUACGAGUUCAUGAAAAAAUGCACCUUAUAAAAGUAAUAAUCUAUAUUUCUGACUUUCUGUGAACAACUCACUGUAACGUUUUCAGUAUCAGCCUUUGAACUUGUUGGAGGACACUGUGCUCACACACAGCUAGGUGCUCGGGGUCCUCGCACUAUCUAUCGCAGUGUGUGAAUGUCAUUCCAAGGCUGGGUGGGGUCAACUGUCCCUCGCCCCUAUGUGACUUGCAAGGCUCUGAGUUUGGUUACUGCGGAAACCAUUAGUUUAUUAGUAAAUAAACUGAAAAUUGGGUUUUGGGUUUUCCCUUUCCUGUAGUGCGUUAUAGGUUUCAGUGCAUGUAAAUGGUCUGCAGAGGAUAAAAUCCACGAGUUUCUUUCACGUACUCCCUGAAACACUCCCAUUGGACUCCUUAAUGUCAUCACUAUUUCAUAAUCGCGCAUCUAUUGGCUAGCGGUGCAACACAUUGUACGCCAUAGGUGGGACAUCACAACUGAGCCGGCCAGCUAACCAAUCAGAGCAGAGUUGGCUCUGGUUUCAGACAGAGGGUGAACAUUUUUUAAAUAAAAAGCUUUCUGAACAUUAAAGGAUGGAAACACGUCACGGUAGAGGCACAAAAUACAAAUAUGAACCUGAAAAUGAGCAGAAUAGGGCCCCUUUAAUUUUUAAGAGAAAUGCUAACCAUUUGAUGCCUCCAGCUUCUUGGUCCAGCUUCUCAAAUGUUUGCACCUUUUUUCUUUUAUAUUUCUUUGGGUUUGUUUACUUCAGAUUAAAUAUAUUACAUUUGGAGAAAUUAUUGGUUGAUUUACUUGAUAAUAUUCUAAAUAAAGUUGUGUUAAAGUGGUCACACUAGGCUAGGUUCAUUCAUAAAAAAAAUAUAAAUGUUGUUUGCUCGUGCGCUAGAACAUUUGCAAACAUUUAGCAUCUUUGUUUAUUUGCUCUUAUUAUAGCACCUACUAGUGAUGCAACACAUUUCAAAAGUACUGUACAAUAUGCUGAUACACUUCUGGUUUCAAAUGAGGCAUUAGUAGUAUUACUAUUAUAAUAUUGUGUGUCCUUGCAUCAGAGUGGUGUUUACGCUGAACCAAUUCCAUCCAUUUACUGCUCAGCCUCUGCAGUCUUGAAGGGGAGAUGAGUGGAUUUGAUGUUGGAGCCUCACUCAGCCUUCUUGUUCUGUUGUGAUUGCAAUAAAGGCUUGAUUUCCAAACCCCUAGACAAAAGUCGAGUGCAAACGACUGCGAGCUGCCAGUGUUUCUUCUUUCUCCACUAAAAUA